AGCAAAGCAAGCACAAGUCCUGUACAACCCAAGUCCAGAAUAGCUAGGCCAAAGCCUAAAAGUCUGCAGCCACAUCAAAUCUAAGGAGGGCCUGCAUGGAAGCACCAUGAGGCAUAAAAGGUAUCAGACGACUAUAAGCCUUCCCCUGGAAGUUAUCUGAGAGGCGAGGCCAUGAGGCGCUAGAAAGGUCCUGUCAGAUACAGCAAUUUCAUUGUAUGACCUGUGAAGUACCCACUAGAUGGUUUGCUGGGCAUAUUCUGUGACCUGUCCAAAUGUCAUUCCUCAGGGGGAGUCAGAACUGUGAGCUUCAGUUAUUGUGUGUAAAUCUGUUAUC